rnacentral:rRNA from 1 species
UACGAAGGGGGCUAGCGUUGUUCGGAUUUACUGGGCGUAAAGCGCGUGUAGGCGGGUCGUUAAGUUGGGGGUGAAAUCCCGAGGCUCAACCUCGGAACUGCCUUCAAAACUGGCGACCUGGAGCAAAGAAGAGGCGAGUGGAAUUGCGAGUGUAGAGGUGAAAUUCGUAGAUAUUCGCAGGAACACCAGUGGCGAAGGCGGCUCACUGGCCCAUUACUGACGCUGAGGCACGAAAGCGUGGGGAGCAAACAGG